GAGAGAGCUCUUGAUGAGAGAGAACUCGAUGAGAGAGAGGGGGUGGGCAAGAGAGAACCUGUGAAAGAGAGCUUGAUGGGAGAAAGAGGGAUGAGAGAGAGAGCUUGAGGAGAACAUGUAGUCCAAGCGGAACUCAAUGUACCACAAACCUACUAUCCAUUGAUUUAAUUAGCUUACUAUCAUUAAAUCUGUGUCCGAAAGUAAAUUACCGCAUCCAUUAUUCUAUAAUCGGAUAACAAGCUAGCUCAUGACAAAAAAGCCAAAUAAAACUUGAUGCUUUCUCUAUGCAACUUUCGUCCAAAAUAAGCCCUCUUAAAAAGAGAGCAAGAGCAUCAAAAAGAGAAGAGAAGAGAAGGCAACAUAGUCUAUUUCCUACAAUAAAGAAGAAUAAAGUGUCAUUGGGUUCUAAGAUCUUAACCCUUUACCACUUCUUUAAUGGCUCCGGCUUCAACAACGAUCUGCAGCAUUGGGGUUGGAAUUCUAAUUUGUAUGAUUUAAUUAUGCAAAGGAGUUUCCUUGCAGGUGGUGGCCUUAUGUUGAUACUUUGCUUGGAUGGAGACUCCUCAUCUCGUAUCUUAAUUAUCGCCAGCUUGGACUUCUCAAACUCAGCUCAAAUCAUGUUUCCAAGCCAAAACUGAAAAAGAAGAUAUUUGAGGCGGUGGAAAUGGCUCAGAAAUCGCAAGCAAUGGACCAUAUAGUUCUUAGGAAGUUUGGAGAUGAGCAGAGCACGCUGUUGGACCGGUUUGAAAGACUGUCUUUUGAGGUGCAGCUGAACCAAGCCAUACUGGGGAGGAGCUUUUCAGAGCCAAGUGUGGCUCGGUUCCAAGCACCACUGUUUGGUCAGGGCCCGGCUCCACCACCACCUCCGCUGAGGCAGGCGCAACGAGGGCGUCGUGGAUCGGCUUUCCACAAGGUCCUGAAGAAGUUUCUCAAGCCUAUUCUUGGUAGAAAGAGUCGUGGUGGAAUGAGUGAAGUCCAACUACCAGAUCCAAGAAAUCCCAGGUCAUGGAAAGCUUUCAGCAGAUCACUCCGGGCUUAAAGCUAUAUAUCUGAGCGUCUAUAUUCUGGUUCACAUUUAUACUUAUUUUACAAGUUUUUCUUAUUUUUGUUUUGGCUAAGUAAAUUAUAAAUAAAGUCUAUUAACGUCGAUAACAUAAUAUUCGAUAUACACAUGCAAAUGGUUAUGUAACAAUAUUUAUAAAGGAAUGAAAAGCAAGAAUUCGGUUGUACA